CCAUCAGCCUCCAGCAGCUUCAACCUCCCUAGCUCCCAAAGCUAUCUUAAAGGUAAAGUCACCCCAGCACAUAAGGGAAGGAAGGAAUUGUGGAAGGGAGGGAGGGAGGGAGGGAGGAGAAUGAGAGAGAGUGUAUAUAUAAGUAGCUUAUAAGACAAUCAUGCAGUUGAAUGGGUUACCUGAGAGUUAAGGGCUGUCUCCAUCUUUGGAAAUUUUUGAAAUCCAACCAGACUGAACCUUACAGCUGUCUCUUCUUUGAGCAUGAGGUUGAGCCAGAAGCCUCCUGAGGUCCCUUCCAACCUGAAUUAUGUUAUGAUGCCAGAUCCCAGCAUUAACAGGAAUAGCUUGGACACAAAUAUAUGAUGGGUGCAGUUCCACUGAUACAGAAGUGCCUCAGCCCUGGACCCUGUGUGCCAUUGGAGGGACAUGUGUGACAGCAGCCAGCCUUGGUCUCAGGAAGAAACCCAGCAACCUGCCCUUGGGGCAUCUUCAGCAGUCAGCCUCAUAGACAGUUCUUUCGCUGAUGAAGAGAGGAAGAAGGCACAUGGAAGAAAAAUCACAAGAUGAUGAAAAAUGAUCCCUACAAACAGUUUCCCACCUUUCUAGAUUCAAAAAUGUCACAUAUAGGUAAAACUUUACAAAAUAAAGGCCUUGUAAAAUCAUGGUUCA
rnacentral:lncRNA from 1 species